rnacentral:misc_RNA from 1 species
GGGGAAGCAAGGGAAGGAAAUCUACAGUAGGGAAUAAGGGUGUUACAAAUUAUGUUUUAUAUCUUCAUGUAUAUCAAUCUUCAUUUAUAUCAACAUUCACCCAAAAAAUAUUCUAUUUACUACAUAAAAAUUUUGUUCAAGACUUUAACGAUUACCCCAUCCAUCCGUAAAUCCAGGAGCCUGUGGGUAGAGCUCGGACUCGGAUUUUACACCUUGAGAUUUUUUCAGUUAUAG